rnacentral:rRNA from 1 species
GUGGGGAAUUUUGGACAAUGGGGGCAACCCUGAUCCAGCCAUGCCGCGUGCGGGAAGAAGGCCUUCGGGUUGUAAACCGCUUUUGUCAGGGAAGAAAUCCUUUGGGUUAAUACCUCGGAGGGAUGACGGUACCUGAAGAAUAAGCACCGGCUAACUACGUGCCAGCAGCCGCGGUAAUACGUAGGGUGCGAGCGUUAAUCGGAAUUACUGGGCGUAAAGCGCGCGCAGGCGGUUUUGUAAGAUCGAUGUGAAAUCCCCGGGCUCAACCGGGGAACUGCAUUGGUGACUGCAAGGCUGGAGUGCGGCAGAGGGGGAUGGAAUUCCGCGUGUAGCGGUGAAAUGCGUAGAUAUGCGGAGGAACACCGAUGGCGAAGGCAAUCCCCUGGGCCUGCACUGACGCUCAUGCACGAAAGCGUGGGGAGCAAACAGGAUUAGAAACCCGGGUAGUCC